rnacentral:sRNA from 1 species
GUUUAGCCCCGAUGGAAGUAAAAAUCCUUGUAAGCCGGGGUUCGGCUUACAAGAUUGUAGCGGACAGCGGGACUGAAU